rnacentral:misc_RNA from 1 species
GAACUGCGGAAGGAUAUUAAAAAAUGGUGUGCCUUUUGUUGGUCACCAUUAAUAUCCUACCUUUGUGAAUUGUUUGUGUAAUAAUUUUUUUCCAAUGAAAAUUAUUUGUCUAUCCUGAAGAAUAGCUUGUAAAGUUAUUUUUUAGGGAGUAGAUUUUAAUAUUUUUCAGUGAAAGACCUUUUUUUAAAUUAAACUUUUGUAUUCAUUUGUCUAAUUGUAAAAUAUUUAAAAACAACUUUUGACAAUGAUCUCUUGGUUCUCGCAACGAUGAAGAGCGCAGCAAAUGCGAUAAGUAAUGUGAAUUGCAGAUACGUGAAUCAUCAAAUUUCGAACGCAUAUUGCACUUUUUAGUUUACUAAAAAGUAUGUCUGUUUGAUUAGUAAUAUUCUCAUAAAAGCGUUGCGUUUUAUGUUAUGAGUGUUUACAACGAUAAACAGUUGUUUCACUUAAAUUCAUUUUAAAGCCGUUUUAAUGGUUUAAAAUAAUUAAAUUGGAUAAAUUUCCGUAAAAGGAAUAAACUAUUCAGUUUUAGUUUUUUUAAUCCAAGGCCAAACAAAAGAAUUUUCAAAUACAAUCAACUUGAUCUCAAAUCAGAUAAGAUACCGCUGAACUAAGCAAUCAAUAAGCGGAGGAAAGAAACUAACAAGGAUCCUUAGUAACGCGAUGAAGCGGAAGAGCUCAAUUUGAAAUCUUCAAGGUCCUACUUGACGAAUUAUAGUUUAAAGAAGUGUUUCUGUUAGCGGGUGGCAAAAGUUCUUGAAUAGGACAUCAUAGAGGGUGAGAAUCCGUAUUUGGUCAUUCCUUCUAGCUUUGUGAUACACUUCAAAGAGUCGGAUUGUUGGGAAUGCAGUCCAAAUGGGUGGUAAAUUCAUCUAAAGCUAAAUACUGCGAGAGACCGAUAGCGAACAAGUACCGUGAGGAAGAUGAAAAGAACUUGAAAAGAGAGUUAAACAGUACGUGAAUUGUCAAAAGGAAGCGUUGACACAGUGUUGUUGUGGAGAAAUCAAUUGUGUGGAACGGUUGUUGUGGGGUUGAGACCUUAUAGCUCUCCUUACCUUUUUCACGCAAUGCACUUUCUUUAACAGUCACAUCAAUUUCUUUGUUGUAAAAGGUCAGCGGAAGGUGGCUUCUUUUCGGAGAAAGUGUUUAUAGCGUUGAUCUCUACGAUCGGAGAGAUUGAGGUCUGCAGCGUAGAUCCUUCGGGUAGAUACGUCGGUGCUAAGUUAUA